AGAGUUUGAUCCUGGCUCAGGAUAAACGCUGGCGGCGCACAUAAGACAUGCAAGUCGAACGGACUUAAUCGAUUCUUUUAGAUUCGAAGCGGUUAGUGGCGGACUGGUGAGUAACACGUAAGCAACCUGCCUAUUAGAGGGGAAUAACAGUGAGAAAUCACUGCUAAAACCGCAUAUGCCGUGAACAUCGCAUGAUGAAAACGGGAAAAGAGCAAUCUGCUAAUAGAUGGGCUUGCGUCUGAUUAGUUAGUUGGCGAGGUAACGGCCCACCAAGACGAUGAUCAGUAGCCGG
rnacentral:rRNA from 1 species